rnacentral:rRNA from 1 species
AAACGACUCUCGGCAACGGAUAUCUCGGCUCACGCAUCGAUGAAGAACGUAGCAAAAUGCGAUACUUGGUGUGAAUUGCAAAAUCCCGUGAACCAUCGAGUUUUUGAACGCAAGUUGCGCCCGAAGCCACCCGGUUGAGGGCACGUCUGCCUGGGCGUCACGC